ensembl:snRNA U2 U2 spliceosomal RNA
AUUGCUUCUUGGCCUUUUGGCUAAGAUCAAGUGUAGUAUAAAUUUAUAUUCUCAUUGUAGAAAAUAGGAAAUAUUGAUUAAGAUGAGUCUGUAUAUACCCUAU